UACGUAGGGUGCAAGCGUUGUCCGGAAUUAUUGGGCGUAAAGGGCUCGUAGGCGGUCCAUCGCGUCGGGAGUGAAAAGCUGGGGCUUAACCCCAGUCCUGCUUCCGAUACGGGUGGACUAGAGGUAGGUAGGGGAGAUCGGAAUUCCUGGUGUAGCGGUGGAAAUGCGCAGAUAUCAGGAGGAACACCGGUGGCGAAGGCGGAUCUCUGGGCCUUACCUGACGCUGAGGAGCGAAAGCGUGGGGAGCGAACAGG
rnacentral:rRNA from 1 species